rnacentral:rRNA from 1 species
UACGUAGGGUGCAAGCGUUAAUCGGAAUUACUGGGCGUAAAGCGCACGUAGGCGGCUUCUUAAGUCGGUGGUGAAAUCCUGGAGCUCAACUCCAGAACUGCCUUCGAUACUGGGAGCUCGAGUCCGGGAGAGGUGAGUGGAACUGCGAGUGUAGAGGUGAAAUUCGUAGAUAUUCGCAAGAACACCAGUGGCGAAGGCGGCUCACUGGCCCGGUACUGACGCUGAGGUGCGAAAGCGUGGGGAGCAAACAGGG